rnacentral:rRNA from 1 species
AUGGCGACGUACAAGGAGAAAAGGACAUCGGAGGAGGCGUGGGACACAAGCUCAGAGGUGGCUGGGCUGAUGGGACGCACAUACGUGAUCCAUGCACCCACCCGGUUGGUGGAUGAGGAAUCCACAUGCAACGUCGAGUGCAACAUGCUGAAUACCGUCCAGUCGCAGCCUGUGGGUAAUAUAUCACUGGAUUUAUCUUCAAAUCCGGUUGAAGUGGACUCAAACUUGAUGCUGGUGGAUUCGGCGGAAGGUAUGACUGCCCAGGAAGCAUUGGCCUACGUGAGGUUGAAGAAGUUUUGUUCCAGCAUCGUCAAAAAGUUGGCGCCACCUCUCCUGCGCAAGGUUUCAGCCCUACGACAGGAGGCAGAACCGUUUACACCCAAGCGCACUACGAGAUCCACCAAGCGAUCUGCUGGGACGAACACAACCAAGUCCAACAAGGUGGAAAGCGUUUUGCUGAGAGCACUUGGGCUUGUCCCAGAAGACAUGGCGGUGGAUGACGAGGCAGUCAAAGAUCUCCAAGAGCCCCUGAGGGAGCAGCAUGUGAGGGUCAUUGCGGCGUUGUUCGUCAAAUGCGUCCCCAACAAUGACGAGCUGUCACGAGAGGCUGAUGUGGUGAUCGGUGUGCACUAA